GUGUGUGUUUGUGUCAAUGGUGUUAGUGUGUGUUGUGUAAUGAUGGGUGCGCGGCGCGUCACAAUGCUUGCCUCUCGGCUCGCACAUGCAACACACCCGCCCACUACUGUGCACGGUGCAUACAUGGCUAAAUCACUGAUGAUCCUUCCGCAGGUUCACCUACGGAAA
rnacentral:misc_RNA from 1 species